rnacentral:pre_miRNA from 1 species
AAAAAAGCAAACUCUGGGUUUCCGUGUCCAACUUUGACUAUCCGUCUUAUAUGAAAUUUUUUUAUAAUUCAUAUUUUUAUUGUUGUUAGAUGAUAAAACAUGAUUAAUACUUUGUGCGUGACUUGUCUUUUAAUUUUUUUUCAAAUAAGACGGACGGCCGAACGUUGGGCACGAAAAUCAGGGUUUGUCUUUUU